CUUCCUCCUUCCUGCUCAGCCCAAAGGCAGGAGUCAUGGAACCCCAGGAAAGGACGGAACAGAACAGGACAGGGCCCCCAGCCCCAUCUUUAUCUCACCGGCUGCUGCUGGCUGCCAAGCCUCCCCUGAAUGGGGGAGGGUGGUCUGUGUGAGUCAGCGGAGGCACGAAGUGGAGGAAGACGGGAGCCUCUGCCAGGCCCGUUGAGCGUGGCCUCAGAAAUGCGCCGCUGGGUUAGGGUCUCCCCGACCGAGGCUCGAAUCCAGGUCGAAGGGUCGCCGGAGCGAUGGUUGGAGAAUGUGGAAGGAGCUGGAGGACACCCGAGUAUUCUUAAAGCAAUCCCCAUGGCCAAAAUCAACAGCUGAUCUGGAUACCAUCAAGACACCUGAAAUCUUAUCAUGAGCCAGAUGCUGAGGAAGAGACUCCGGGAGGAUCCCGAGGACGGCCCAGUUGCAGCCAUGUUGAGACUGACGCUGAGGAGGACCCCAACUGUCACGAGCAACACCUGUCGAACACAGCCACCCACCUGGGGACAGAUCAAGAAGCUGUCACAGAUGGCAGAAGAAAACCUGAGGAAAGCGGGACAACCAGUCACAAUGAGUAAUUUCAUGGUAGCUAUGAUAGCAGUUAUCACCACUGCUUCUGCAGAUGUGGAUCCUAACUCCUGCGAGAAGUAACUCACAGUGACAAAGCUGCCUUUGCUUUUAUCGAGUUGCAAAUCAAAGAAGGGGGGACAUGUUGGGAACAGGCCCCCCAAGAUCUGGCCAUAAACUGGCCCCAAAACUGGCUAUAAACAAAAUCUGCAGCACUGUGACACGUUCAUGAUGGCCGUGACGCCCACGCUGGAAGGUUGUGGGUUUACCGGAAUGAGGGCAAGGGACACCUGGCCCACCCAGGGCGGAAAACCGCUUAAAGGCGUUCUUAAACCACAAACAAUAGCCUGAGUGAUCUGUGCCUUAAAGACACACUCCUGCUGCAGAUAACUAACCAGACCCACCACUUUACUUCGGCCCAUCCCUUCAUUUCCCAUAAGGGAUACUUUUAGUUAAUCUAUUAUCUAUAGAAACAAUGCUAAUGACUGACUUACUAUUAAUAAAUAUGUGGGUAAACCUCUGUUGGGGCUCUCAGCUCUGAAGGCUGUCAGACCCCUGAUUUCCCACUUCGCACCUC
ensembl:lncRNA novel transcript